GACCUCUCAGGGUCACAUCUGGAGAGUUUCCAGUCCUCUAACAGUUUCAGCUAUGGGAGGGAGAGUCAGGCAGAGGCCUAUCUAUUCCAUUCCUAGCUUGGGCAGUGGCUAGUGAUUGGAAGGUAAUCUGCUAUAAGU